GACAGAGGAUGCAAGCGUUAUCCGGAAUGAUUGGGCGUAAAGCGUCUGUAGGUGGCUUUUCAAGUCCGCCGUCAAAUCCCAGGGCUCAACCCUGGACAGGCGGUGGAAACUACCAAGCUGGAGUACGGUAGGGGCAGAGGGAAUUCCCGGUGUAGCGGUGAAAUGCGUAGAGAUCGGGAAGAACACCAACGGCGAAAGCACUCUGCUGGGCCGAAACUGACACUGAGAGACGAAAGCUAGGGGAGCAAAUGGG
rnacentral:rRNA from 1 species